rnacentral:tRNA from 1 species
GAGGGCAUAGCUCAGUGGUAGAGUGCAUGUUUGACAUGCAUGAGGUCUUGGGUUCAAUCCCCAGGACCUCC